CUGAUGCAGCGACGCCGCGUGAGGGAUGACGGCCUUCGGGUUGUAAACCUCUUUCAGCAGGGAAGAAGCCACAAGUGACGGUACCUGCAGAAGAAGCGCCGGCUAACUACGUGCCAGCAGCCGCGGUAAUACGUAGGGCGCAAGCGUUGUCCGGAAUUAUUGGGCGUAAAGAGCUCGUAGGCGGUUUGUCGCGUCUGCUGUGAAAGCCCGGGGCUCAACCCCGGGUCUGCAGUGGGUACGGGCAGACUAGAGUGCAGUAGGGGAGACUGGAAUUCCUGGUGUAGCGGUGAAAUGCGCAGAUAUCAGGAGGAACACCGAUGGCGAAGGCAGGUCUCUGGGCUGUUACUGACGCUGAGGAGCGAAAGCAUGGGGAGCGAACAGGAUUAGAUACCCUGGUAGUCCAUGCCGUAAACGUUGGGCACUAGGUGUGGGGGACAUUCCACGUUCUCCGCGCCGUAGCUAACGCAUUAAGUGCCCCGCCUGG
rnacentral:rRNA from 1 species